rnacentral:rRNA from 1 species
GUGUCAGCAGCCGCGGUGAUACGUAGGGGGCGAGCGUUGUCCGGAUUUAUUGGGCGUAAAGGGUUCGCAGGCGGUUUUUUAAGUCAGGUGUUAAAGACUACAGCUUAACUGUAGAAAGCAUUUGAAACUGGAGAACUUGAGUUAAGGAGAGGAAAGUGGAAUUCCUAGUGUAGCGGUGAAAUGCGUAGAUAUUAGGAGGAACAUCAGUGGCGAAGGCGACUUUCUGGACUUAUACUGACGCUGAGGAACGAAAGCGUGGGGAGCAAACAGGAUUAGAUACCCUGGUAGUCCACGCCGUAAACGAUGAGUGCUAGGUGUCGGGGGUCAAACCUCGGUGCCGGAGCUAACGUAUUAAGCACUCCGCCUGGGGAGUACGUACGCAAGUAUGAA